rnacentral:tRNA from 1 species
GCCGGGGUGGCGAAAUUGGUAGACGCAAGGGACUUAAAAUCCCUCGGGCAGCUAUGUCCGUGCCGGUUCGAUUCCGGCCCUCGGCA